rnacentral:rRNA from 1 species
AACGAACGCUGGCGGCAGGCUUAACACAUGCAAGUCGAACGGGUGUAGCAAUACAUCAGUGGCAGACGGGUGAGUAACACGUGGGAACCUUCCUAGGGGUACGGAACAACCCAGGGAAACUUGAGCUAAUACCGUAUACGUCCGUGAGGAGAAAGAUUUAUCGCCCUUAGACGGGCCCGCGUCGGAUUAGCUAGUUGGUGGGGUAACGGCCUACUAAGGCGACGAUCCGUAGCUGAUCUUAGAGGAUGAUCAGCCACACUGGGACUGAGACACGGCCCCGACUCCGACGGGAGGGAGCAGUGGGGAAUCUGGGACAAGGGGCGCAAGCGUGAUCCAGCCAUGCCGCGUGGGUGAAGAAGGUCUUCGGAUUGUAAUGCUCUUUUGCCAGGGACGAUAAUGACGGUACCUGGAGAAUAAGCCCCGGCAAACUUCGUGCCAGCCGCCGCCGUAA